AGCGUUUCUCAACUCGACUGCCUAGAUGGAGUUCGCUAUCUCCGCCAAUACCAGUUCAAUGAUGGCUAUUCUCUCUUCAUUCCUGUUGACUCACUGGGAAACGGCAUUCAACCUUGUGCGCUGCAUAAACUGCGAAAAUGGCAUCGAACAUCAGUCGGCAGGCUUCACAAAGCUUCCUGGACCAGGAACACGAUGAUGUCCGUCUUGCAGCGCUCGACAGCUCUCUAGUUUGUUGCAUUUCUUCGGUACCACGGUAAUUGCCCAUGUCUUCAGGAGCCUUCGCGGGAAAAUGUGGUAUGGAAUCAGAGACGUAAUCCCGGGUUGCAUCUAGGUCCUUCGUUCACUGCCAGCUGGGUAGCCGGUUUGCAUUGUUACCACCACUGCACCAUCAUAAGAACAUUCAGCAGCCAGUCCCGACUGGUGCCGAUGGUCAUUUUUCGAAGCAACAAAUUGUGGUCAACCAUCACCAGUGCUCGCACACGUGAGAUGAGCAUCUCUAAGGGACGGUCAUCUAGAUUGGGUUGAAAGAUUUCUUCUCACAUCAUACCUCUUGUGUUUGGCAUAUAGUUCGGGCGUACUGGUCUCAUAUCUGUCAUCUGAGGUCAAUGGUCAUAUGUAUCUGCUGUAUAAUCUAGCCGUUUGCGGUUCGGCAUUGGGAGGAAAGACUGAAUGAGGGCCGCACGACUUUGAUUAUCGAGUCUCAGGUAUAGUUUUGGAGCUUAUAUUGAGAGGUAGAAUCAAUGACGGGAUUCUCAAUUGUCUUUUGGGAAACACGUUUUACAGGCAGGUUCUA